CAGAGGUUAACAGAGCCACCAAAGUGUUAAUAAAAACAACAAUAAAUGCUUAAGAUAAAAAGUCAAUAAAUUAGUUCAUAUGGUAAAAUAUAUCUAAAAAUAUCUAAAAAGUUUUAUUUCAUUUUACUGUAUAUUAUUUGAUUAAAAAAAAAACAAAACAAACAAACAUCCAAAAUAAUUAUUUACAUUAUUAAAUGGUUGAAACCCAUGUAGAUUUCUAUUAGGAAGGGCAUUUUGUUCUAAAGCCUCUGCAGCAACUUGCAUCCAAUCAGAUUGUUGCGGGAAUUCCCCAUGUUGGUGAGACACACGCAAAGUGCUGCAUUAAAAUUAGCAGAGAAGCAAGUGGAGAAAUUGAGUCUAAAACUGAAAAGUACAAUUUGGUACUCCAAAGAAGAUAUUUUUGUUUUCACUCCAAUGAAGGUAUUUUUGUUUUCACUCCAGAGAAGAUAUUUUUUUGUUUUCCGGUUUUGAGCUACUGGUGUUUUGCAAAACAACCGGACUCUUUAUUGAUGGUUUGUGUACUGGAUUAAACGGGACUUGGCCAACUUAGGUUGGGAUGAAGGAUUGUUGAUUAGACACUGGAUUUGGAAAUUGGAAGAUUCAAGAUGGCGAGCCACCCUAUGGACACAGUGUGAACUGUGCAUGAGCCAGGAUUGCACCCCCUGCUGGAUGUUUCAUGGUUUACAUCUGAACUGGUAGGAUCUUUUCACCUUCCACCAAACUAGUGGAUCCAGGUGGAUAACAUUGGACUGAUAAUUCAGAGAAAGAAAAACAAGCAAAAUCGGAAGUAAGAGACUUUAUUCUGUGGAAUACAGACUUGUUCAGUCUUUUGCUGAAUAUUUUGAGUUUUGUAACAGUUUGAUUUUCUUUAUUCAUUGUUUGGUUCCAAAUGCUAAAACAACAUUUUGUCUAAAUUCAAUGAUACCUAUACUAAACUAAAAGAGUUGAGAUAAAUAGAACUAAACUCAUUAAUAAAAGAGUUAAAUAGAGAAAUACCUUGAACUACCUUGAACUGAAGAUUAAAAUAGCUAAAGGUUGCAACCUAUAUUGAUAGGACCCAAAAGGAAUUAAAUAUCCUAAAAUUAAACUAAGAAGGUUUAACACAAAAAGGGAUUUAUUCCAAAAUAAAUGUUAAAUGUAAGUCAUUGUCUUUUGUCCAUAUGUUCAAUAACAAGCCGGCAUUUAAACUUUA